rnacentral:rRNA from 1 species
CCCUUAGAUGUUCUGGGCCGCACGCGCGCUACACUGAUGCAUUCAACGAGCCUAUCCUUGACCGACAGGUCCGGGUAAUCUUUGAAUCUGCAUCGUGACGGGGAUAGAUUAUUGCAAUUAUUAAUCUUCAACGAGGAAUGCCUAGUAGGCGCAAGUCAUCAGCUUGCGUCGAUUACGUCCCUGCCCUUUGUACACACCGCCCGUCGCUCCUACCGAUUGGGUGUGCUGGUGAAAUGUUCGGAUCGGCCGUUUGUCGCGGUUUCCGCGUCAUGUGGCAGAGAAGUUCAUUAAACCCUCCCACCUAGAGGAAGGAGAAGUCGUAACA